rnacentral:rRNA from 1 species
UACGAAGGGGGCUAGCGUUGCUCGGAAUUACUGGGCGUAAAGGGCGUGUAGGCGGCUCUACAAGUCAGUCGUGAAACCUCCCGGCUUAACCGGUAGCUGGCGAUUGAAACUGUCGGGCUUGAGUGCAGAAGAGGGGAGUGGAAUUCCCAGUGUAGCGGUGAAAUGCGUAGAUAUUGGGAGGAACACCAGUGGCGAAAGCGGCUCCCUGGCCUGUAACUGACGCUGAGGCGCGAAAGCGUGGGUAGCAAACAGGAUUAGAUACCCCGGUAGUCC